GGGGCCAGGCUGGAGGCCCAGAAGGCCUGGAACAGAGUGGGCCAGCUGUUGAGCCUCACGCUGAGCUAGGUGGGCACGCCCCUCCUCUACUCCUCCAGACUUCUGUGGCUCAGAUCCAGAGCAGACGACAUUGGAGGGUCCUUGGGAUGGAGGAGGGAGACACAGCCCUGCCAGGUCUGACCCCCACCCCGCCCCCACACAGCUGAGUGAGCAGCCUGUGGGACGGCUGAGACACUCCAGGCUCCUGCUUGCCUCGGGGAGCCCCUAAGGAGGGGUAGGAGCAGGCAGCUUCUCAAGCCGCAGGCAUUGCGAGCCCCUCCAUUCUCUAGGAAGACAGCAGGGGCCACUGUACAUCUGCCGGGUGACGACAGGGCAGGAGAGAUUUUGGCACCCUAAGGGGUCUAAAGUGCGGACCAGGAGCCAGAGUCUCGCUCUCAGAAGGAAGCAGAAGGCCGAGUGUGUACUGAAUUUGGACUGAGGGACCCAGGCUCUCCGAGUGGGGGGUGGGGCCGCCUCCGGCUCUGGAGCCGCAACACUCCGGGUCCCCGCCCGCCACCGACGGCCGGUGCUGACCGUGCUGCCGCAGCCCCCAGCGCCGGCUCGAAAGCUGCGCACCCGGGGCCGCGGCCUCCAGCGCUCCCAGCCCAACCCGUCCGCGAGGUGGAUGCAGGCUGCGGUGGUCAGAGAGGGACGCCGGAGACACACAGAAGCACGUAGGGAAUCGGAGAGGACCAGAGAGAGGAGACGGUUGUGGAAAGGGAUUCAGAGAGACAGGAGAGAGGGGGACCGGGGAGCCGCAGACACCGAUCUGGCGGCCACGGGAGGGGUGCGCCUCGCACGCACACACGCGCGCGUACACCGGCUCACACCCGCUCGCUACACACGGCCACACACGCCCCGCGCCUCCGCCGCGCCGAUUCCCUCCAACAAAGCCGAGUUACAACCGCCCAGGAGGGAGCCGGAGCGCGUCGGCGCCUCGCGCGUACCGAGGGUCGUGGUCGUGUGAUCGGCUUCUUGGGUCCCCUCAUCGCGAACCCUCUCCCUCCCUCCCGGGCAUGGCGCGCAGCCUUAGGAAUCACGCGGGCCCCGUUUAGCGUCCGUGACCCCAAGGGGACCCCCGCCACGGUGACCAGCGCACCGAGUCAGCCGUGACCGGGCGGGGCCAGGCCUCUCGCCCCCCGACUUACCUUGGU